AAGUCGUAACAAGGUUUCCGUAGGUGAACCUGCGGAAGGAUCAUUACCACAUCCAAAAUCUUACAAACCCACAAGUGUGAAGUUGUGAUGAGGAACUUUCUUCAUUUUUUUUUUGAACCCCUUUUGAACUUUUUACCAAGAGAAUAAGCAAGACUAAAAAUAAAAUGAGAAAAGAGAAAACAACUUUUAACGGUGGAUCUCUUGGCUCGU
rnacentral:misc_RNA from 1 species